UAAUGCAGGAACCAUAAUGUAACGUUUGAAAGUUUCAAAAUUUACACAGAAAGAGAUUUGUUUAGUUGUAAUAUAGUUACACUUAAUGGAAGACAUUAUGACAUGAUUUGGUGGCCGUUAAGAUGAUUUUGUUUAACAGAUGACCACGAUUUGGUACAGUCCUGUCUUUUUUCGUUUCUUACUAUCAACUAAUGCUACUUAUUAUCGGGUAUUCAAUGAGCAACACGACAGGUGCCACCAGUGUAUCAAGAACUAUUUAGUAUUCCAUCUUGAGCACCUGAGUUCAACAGUCAUUUUCCUGGUUGGAUCAUAUUACUAACCCUACUUUUUGUUUACUGUUUUUGGACGGUUAUUUUUUUCGAAUACUGAUUUGAUCCCUUCUAUUAAAUUGUUCUCUUUAGACGUUUUUUUUUUCUCUUUGUCUACUAUGUUCUAAUAAUGAAAUUACCCAAUGACUGUUAUGCCGAAGAAAAGAGCUUAAAAAAGACACCCUUUCUAAUUCCACAAGAAAACCAAAGUGGCAAGACCCCGAGCCAUUACUUUACUUAUGUUAUCAUCUAAUGAAAAAUAAGAAAAGGCAAUAUAAUUGCCAGUUAUGCAAACUGUCCACAAAAAUUGAAAAAAGGACAAAACGUUCGAAUAAACAAACAUUCAGCUGUGCCGAAAACGGACAACUACGAUGAAUGUACAGUUUAUUGUUAACCAACAAUGAUCUUUUUAAAUAAAAAAAAAUCUUUUAAGUAGAAAUUUCACAAAAUAUUUUUUCAGCAUGUGACCUUCGUGGAUAUGAUUAUGAUGUAUCUUCCAGUACUUGUUUAAAAUUCAAUCACAUACAGCUAAAUUGGUAUGAUGCAAGACAAAAAUGUAUUGAUGAAGGCGGAGAUCUUAUAACAGUAGAGACAGAUGAAAAAUUGACUUUCCUCAAAAGUAGUUUGAAUAAUUGUUCCACAUCGCAGUUUUAUUGGAUCGGCCUUAUCAAUGGUACGUGGACGUCAGGAGAGUCAUUUCAGUACAUCUAUGGAGUAGAACCUUCCGAUAUCCGUAUUGCAGCGCGUUUUCCCGACAGAUGGUGUGGCCGCCUUAGGUUCGCACCAGGGACUGAUAAUCUGAUGUAUGAUGGAAACUGUUUUUUCUUGAGAGAAUUUGUGUGCGAGCUUAACAUUUCCAUUUGACUCUUUAUACAUAAGAAAAUAUUUAGAUAAAUAUUUCAUUUUUGCCUAAAUAAAUACGUCAUUCGUUUUCAAAUUAUCUUCUACAUAACAUAUUGUUUGUACUGCUUUGAUGACAAAAUAAUGAGUAUCUAACUGAGAUGUUAUAUUUCAUACAGACAAUGCUAGUGCAAUAAAUACAACUCAUUAAAGUUACAUUCAAUCGAAUAAGCAAUGGAUUUUGAUUGCUGAAAAAUAUAUUGUUAAUAAUUGGAGAAGAGGUUUCCUGGAGCAAUUUAUACACCAAGCAAUAUAACGAUGUUUGCAAGAACACUAAUCAACUUAUGCAUCUAAUAGAGGGGUGGAAGAUCCAAUUCUUUAUCUGUGGUUGAAAUUCCAAAGGAACUUACAUUAGACGUAUGAUUUUUUUCGGUUUCGUGCGUGUUGCGAAUUUACCAUACUUCAUUCCAUUAUCUCGCAGUUGAUGCACUGUGAUAAACAAACAAAUCGAUAUUGUUUGGGUUUUUGUCUGCAAAAGCAACAAUAUACUUGUCAAAAUGCUAUCUAUAUACAUGAAACGUUUGAUUUAAUCAAAAUGAAUUUGAUAUAUAAUUACAAUGUUUUAUUAAUUUUUCGUUAAAAUUCAAUCUUCUUUUGUAUAACGGAUUUUUCAUGACAUUAAAUAACUUUCAAUUAUAUUGUGACUGUUUACGGUAGUUGUGUAUUAGAACAAUGUUAUAAGAUACAAAGUCAGUGAUAACUUUAAUGAUUCUUCCUAUGUGUAAUGAAAUAUAAGUUGAAAUUGUUCCAUAAAUCACAUAGUAAAUAUCGGGUCAAAUCAGGGUGAUGCAAGGCUCUGGAAAGAGGCACGAAAUUUCAUCAUGGAUUAUGUUUUUGUUCUGUCUUUAACACACAGUAAAAUGGAUUGAUUUUA